rnacentral:lncRNA from 1 species
CUCCAUUAAAACUAUCCUUAGGUCAUUCAAAACCCAUUCUAGGGUUCUACCAUGAGUGAGGAUUAAAGCUUACCUCAGAAGCUUUCCUUUCUUGAGCUAGAGGUGAAGGAGAGGGAGUUGCUUCACUCAUUCUUCUUCUUCUCCACCUUUUUCUCUUUCUUCUUUACUUUUUUUCUUCUCUUUUUCUCUUUGCCUUUUAGAGAGAGAAAGAGAGAUAUGAGAGGGUGUGAGGGAGAGAAAUGAGAGAAAUAUCUCAUACCCCCUCAUACAUAGCCCACAUAGUGCAUAAAUGCAAAUAAGCCCCUCAACUUUCAUCUCUUUCUACUGCCCAGACUGGGCAUUUUUCGCGCUCGGGGACCUGUCUCUCGAGCAUGGGACCGUUCCCAAAGAGCCCUCCCGCAGCUCAGCGGAGCUCUCACAUGAUGCAGCCGGUCCCUCCUGAUGGGACCGGUCUCUCGGGGACCGGUCUCUCCCCGCAGGGACCGGUUCCCGAGAGCUGAUUUUCUGGGACUUAGCCGAUUUUUCAUCUCUGAGAUUUUUCGCAUUCGGGGACCGGUCUCUCCCACCAGGAACCGGUCCCCGAGAGCUCAAAAGCUGUAGUAAGCAGAUUUUUGAUUCUUUAGCUCUCGAAAACCCCCAACAAUGCACUUUUACCUUUUUUGACGCCUUCGGCCUUUCCGAAGCGUACCAACC